rnacentral:rRNA from 1 species
GAUGAACGCUGGCGGCGUGCCUAAUACAUGCAAGUCGAGCGAACGGACGAGAAGCUUGCUUCUCUGAUGUUAGCGGCGGACGGGUGAGUAACACGUGGAUAACCUACCUAUAAGACUGGGAUAACUUCGGGAAACCGGAGCUAAUCCCGGAUAAUAUUUUGAACCGCAUGGUUCAAAAGUGAAAGACGGUCUUGCUGUCACUUAUAGAUGGAUCCGCGCUGCAUUAGCUAGUUGGUAAGGUAACGGCUUACCAAGGCAACGAUGCAUAGCCGACCUGAGAGGGUGAUCGGACACACUGGAACUGAGCCACGGUCCAGACUCCUACGGGAGGCAGCAGUAGGGAAUCUUCCGCAAUGGGCGAAAGCCUGACGGAGCAACGCCGCGUGAGUGAUAAAGGUCUUCGGAUCGUAAAACUCUGCUAUUAGGGAAGAACAUAUGUGUAAGUAACUGUGCACAUCUUGACGGUACCUAAUCAGAAAGCCACGGCUAACUACGUG